CCUACGGGGUGCAGCAGUGGGGAAUAUUGCGCAAUGGGGGCAACCCUGACGCAGCAACGCCGCGUGAUUGAAGAAGGCCUUCGGGUUGUAAAGAUCUUUAAUCGGGGACGAAUUUUGACGGUACCCGAAGAAUAAGCUCCGGCUAACUACGUGCCAGCAGCCGCGGUAAUACGGAGGAUGCGAGCGUUAUCCGGAUUUAUUGGGUUGAAGGGGGGCGCAGGCGGCGUGUCAAGUCAGCGGUAAAAUGUCGGGGCUCAACCCCGGCCGGCCGUUGAAACUGGCGUUCUCGAGUUGGAGAGAAGUAUGCGGAAUUCGUGGUGUAGCGGUGAAAUGCAUAGAUAUCACGAAGAACCCCGAUUGCGAAGGCAGCAUACCGGCUCCACACUGACGCUGAGGCACGAAAGCGUGGGUAUCGAACAGGAUUAGAUACCCCUGUAGUC
rnacentral:rRNA from 1 species